UCCCUGGGUAAAGAAAUGAAAAUCUUCAUGAUCAAAGAUUUCUACUAGGUGCUGCAGUCUCACUGAAUGGCUCACCAUCUUGCCUAACAGUUAUUGAUGAUGGGCCAACCGAUAAGUGGACAACUCUUAUCUAAUGUUUCUCCAAAUAUGAUGUAGCCAUCUUUGAUCUCUAAUUCAUGAAGCCUCACCGUGCUCAGAAUAUUGACCCAC
rnacentral:lncRNA from 1 species